rnacentral:rRNA from 1 species
UACGUAGGGUGCGAGCGUUGUCCGGAAUUAUUGGGCGUAAAGAGCUUGUAGGCGGUUUGUCGCGUCUGCUGUGAAAAUCCGGGGCUCAACCCCGGACUUGCAGUGGGUACGGGCAGAUUAGAGUGUGGUAGGGGAGACUGGAAUUCCUGGUGUAGCGGUGGAAUGCGCAGAUAUCAGGAGGAACACCGAUGGCGAAGGCAGGUCUCUGGGCCACUACUGACGCUGAGAAGCGAAAGCGUGGGGAGCGAACAGG